GUGGGGAAUAUUGGACAAUGGGCGCAAGCCUGAUCCAGCCAUGCCGCGUGAGUGAUGAAGGCCCUAGGGUUGUAAAGCUCUUUCACCGGAGAAGAUAAUGACGGUAUCCGGAGAAGAAGCCCCGGCUAACUUCGUGCCAGCAGCCGCGGUAAUACGAAGGGGGCUAGCGUUGUUCGGAAUUACUGGGCGUAAAGCGCACGUAGGCGGACAUUUAAGGCAGGGGUGAAAUCCCGGGGCUCAACCCCGGAACUGCCUUUGAUACUGGGUGUCUGGAGUAUGGAAGAGGUAAGUGGAAUUCCGAGUGUAGAGGUGAAAUUCGUAGAUAUUCGGAGGAACACCAGUGGCGAAGGCGGCUUACUGGUCCAUUACUGACGCUGAGGUGCGAAAGCGUGGGGAGCAAACAGGAUUAGAAACCCUGGUAGUCC
rnacentral:rRNA from 1 species